rnacentral:rRNA from 1 species
UACGUAGGGGGCAAGCGUUGUCCGGAAUCAUUGGGCGUAAAGAGCGUGUAGGCGGCCCGAUAAGUCCGCUGUGAAAGUCCAGGGCUCAACCCUGGGAUGCCGGUGGAAACUGUCGGGCUAGAGUCCGGAAGAGGCGAGUGGAAUUCCUGGUGUAGCGGUGAAAUGCGUAGAUAUCAGGAGGAACACCUGUGGCGAAAGCGGCUCACUGGACCAUUACUGACGCUGAUGCUCGAAAGCUAGGGGAGCAAACAGG